rnacentral:rRNA from 1 species
AUUGAACGCUGGCGGCAGGCUUAACACAUGCAAGUCGAGCGGAGCGAGGGUGCUUGCACCUUAGCUUAGCGGCGGACGGGUGAGUAAUGCUUAGGAAUCUGCCUAUUAGUGGGGGACAACAUUCCGAAAGGAAUGCUAAUACCGCAUACGCCCUACGGGGGAAAGCAGGGGAUCUUCGGACCUUGCGCUAAUAGAUGAGCCUAAGUCGGAUUAGCUAGUUGGUGGGGUAAAGGCCUACUAAGGCGACGAUCUGUAGCGGGUCUGAGAGGAUGGUCCGCCACACUGGGACUGAGACACGGCCCAGACUCCUACGGGAGGCAGCAGUGGGGAAUAUUGGACAAUGGGCGGAAGCCUGAUCCAGCCAUGCCGCGUGUGUGAAGAAGGCCUUUUGGUUGUAAAGCACUUUAAGCGAGGAGGAGGCUACUUAGAUUAAUACUCUGGGAUAGUGGACGUUACUCGCAGAAUAAGCACCGGCUAACUCUGUGCCAGCCGCCGCCGUAA